GAGUUUGAUCCUGGCUCAGGAUGAACGCUGGCGGUAUGCUUAACACAUGCAAGUCGAACGGUCUCUUCGGAGAUAGUGGCGGACGGGUGAGUAACGCGUGAGAAUCUGGCUUCAGGUCGGGGACAACCACUGGAAACUGUGGCUAAUACCGGAUAUGCCGAGAGGUGAAAGGCUUGCUGCCUGAAGAUGAGCUCGCGUCUGAUUAGCUAGUAGGUGUGGUAAAAGCGCACCUAGGCGACGAUCAGUAGCUGGUCUGAGAGGAUGAUCAGCCACACUGGGACUGAGACACGGCCCAGACUCCUACGGGAGGCAGCAGUGGGGAAUUUUCCGCAAUGGGCGAAAGCCUGACGGAGCAAUACCGCGUGAGGGAGGAAGGCUCUUGGGUUGUAAACCUCUUUUCUCAGGGAAGAAAAAAAUGACGGUACUUGAGGAAUAAGCAUCGGCUAACUCCGUGCCAGCAGCCGCGGUAAUACGGAGGAUGCAAGCGUUAUCCGGAAUGAUUGGGCGUAAAGGGUCCGCAGGUGGCUAUGUAAGUCUGCUGUUAAAGAAUCUAGCUUAACUAGGUAAAAGCAGUGGAAACUACAAGGCUAGAGUGCGUUCGGGGUAGAGGGAAUUCCUGGUGUAGCGGUGAAAUGCGUAGAUAUCAGGAAGAACACCAGUGGCGAAGGCGCUCUACUAGGCCGCAACUGACACUGAGGGACGAAAGCUAGGGGAGCGAAUGGGAUUAGAUACCCCAGUAGUCCUAGCCGUAAACGAUGGAUACUAGGCGUGGCUCGUAUCGACCCAAGCCGUGCCGGAGCUAACGCGUUAAGUAUCCCGCCUGGGGAGUACGCACGCAAGUGUGAAACUCAAAGGAAUUGACGGGGGCCCGCACAAGCGGUGGAGUAUGUGGUUUAAUUCGAUGCAACGCGAAGAACCUUACCAAGACUUGACAUGUCGCGAAUCUCUCUGAAAGGAGAGAGUGCCUUCGGGAGCGCGAACACAGGUGGUGCAUGGCUGUCGUCAGCUCGUGUCGUGAGAUGUUGGGUUAAGUCCCGCAACGAGCGCAACCCUCGUUUUUAGUUGCCAGCAUUAAGUUGGGCACUCUAGAGAGACUGCCGGUGACAAACCGGAGGAAGGUGGGGAUGACGUCAAGUCAGCAUGCCCCUUACGUCUUGGGCUACACACGUACUACAAUGCUACGGACAAAGGGCAGCUACACAGCAAUGUGAUGCAAAUCUCACAAAACCGUAGCUCAGUUCAGAUCGCAGGCUGCAACUCGCCUGCGUGAAGUCGGAAUCGCUAGUAAUUGCAGGUCAGCAUACUGCAGUGAAUUCGUUCCCGGGCCUUGUACACACCGCCCGUCACACCAUGGAAGCUGGUCACGCCCGAAGUCGUUACCCCAACUGUUCGCAGAGGGGGAUGCCGAAGGCAGGACUGGUGACUGGGGUGAAGUCGUAACAAGGUAGCCGU
rnacentral:rRNA from 1 species